GAUUGAACGCUGGCGGCAGGCCUAACACAUGCAAGUCGAACGGUAACAGGAAGCAGCUUGCUGCUUCGCUGACGAGUGGCGGACGGGUGAGUAAUGUCUGGGAAACUGCCUGAUGGAGGGGGAUAACUACUGGAAACGGUAGCUAAUACCGCAUAACGUCGCAAGACCAAAGAGGGGGACCUUCGGGCCUCUUGCCAUCGGAUGUGCCCAGAUGGGAUUAGCUUGUUGGUGGGGUAACGGCUCACCAAGGCGACGAUCCCUAGCUGGUCUGAGAGGAUGACCAGCCACACUGGAACUGAGACACGGUCCAGACUCCUACGGGAGGCAGCAGUGGGGAAUAUUGCACAAUGGGCGCAAGCCUGAUGCAGCCAUGCCGCGUGUAUGAAGAAGGCCUUCGGGUUGUAAAGUACCUUUCAGC
rnacentral:rRNA from 1 species